rnacentral:rRNA from 1 species
AAACCAGCACCUCAAGUGGUCAGGAUGAUUAUUGGGCCUAAAGCAUCCGUAGCCGGCUCUGUAAGUUUUCGGUUAAAUCUGUACGCUUAACGCACAGGCCGCCGGGAAUACUGCAGAGCUAGGGAGUGGGAGAGGUAGACGGUACUCGGGAGGAAGUGGUAAAAUGCUUUGAUCUCUCGAUGACCACCUGUGGCGAAGGCGGUCUACCAGAACACGUCCGACGGUGAGGGAUGAAAGCUGGGGGAGCAAACCGGAUUAGAAACCCGAGUAGUCC